rnacentral:lncRNA from 1 species
GUCUGGCUCUCCCAACUGUGCUGUGAAUGGCUGGCGGGCAAGGCUGGGCCAGUUUUCUACACCUGGCUGGGCACCUGGCCCAACAUAGGUGUUCAGAGACCAGUGAAUAGGAAGGUGCCCGUGGGAAAGAUGGAGCAAGAGCUGAGAAGUAAGAGGACACACUGUGAACUGAGGCCUAUGGACCAAGAGCAUUUCUUGAGCACCUGCUGUAUGCAAGUCGCCGUGCAGAACUCUGAGGAGACCAGCUUAUGCUUUGCCUCUCUCAGGAUGCUCCCAUCUCCAUGCACCACCAAAUGCAGGACAUCCGACUCUCCUUUCUGCGUAGACAGCAUGUCCUGCUCCAGGUCCAUCCAGGUGCUCAUGCCUUCAAUAGCUCCUGCAUCCUGGACUUUGGUGUUGCAGAGUUAUGGAACCAGCCCAGGAUGUCUGUUCAUCAAGAGAAGAAUGGAUGCAGGACAUGUUUCCAUGGGAAGCAGCCAGCAGGGAUGCGAUGCUUCUGAUUACAGCUAGACCUCACAGACUCUUUUCCCUGUUGCUGACAGUUGUACGAAAACCCAGCUCCCGGAGGAUCGUGCGCCACCCGGUUCUGCAUCUGUACCGCCCCAUGCCUGGUGUCUAGAAUGGCCUGAUGCUCCAUGAAGAGGGACGCGGCUGAGGGAGAGGAGAGUGUCGACAUCACAUUCAAAUUUAGAAAGUGUUUGGAAGGAACAGUCUAAAAAUGCUUGCCUGGAAGGGGAAAAAUGCUCUGACAAAAAGCAAAAACGAGACAUACUGGACCCUUGCUCCAUUUAGACAUCAGAAAGGAAAGGUGCCAAAAGAGUAAGCAGAGCGCUGGGGAGCGGCUCCAGUCAGAAGAGUGGAUUCCAGUCAGAAGAGCGCUUGCUUAUAUUUGAUUUUGCAGAAAUCACAUUAAAAAGCUGCGUGUGGUGGUGCAAGUACUUGUAAUCUCAGAGCUGGGAAAGUCGAAACGCACAGCUAGACAGUCUCGGCAUAGCAAAAGGCUCAAGCGAAAGACGCUGUCUGAAAAACAACAAAAAAAAGUGAGGCUGCCGAGGUGCUCGUGGAUGACGGCACUUGCAGAUAA